rnacentral:rRNA from 1 species
GACGAACGCUGGCGGCGUGCUUAACACAUGCAAGUCGAACGGUAAGGCCCUUCGGGGUACACGAGUGGCGAACGGGUGAGUAACACGUGGGUGAUCUGCCCUGCACUUCGGGAUAAGCCUGGGAAACUGGGUCUAAUACCGGAUAGGACCACUGCCUGCAUGGGUGGUGGGGGAAAGCUUUUGCGGUGUGGGAUGGGCCCGCGGCCUAUCAGCUUGGUGGUGGGGUGAUGGCCUACCAAGGCGACGACGGGUAGCCGGCCUGAGGGAGUGACCGGCAAAAGUGGGACUGGGAUACGGCCCAGAAUCCUACGGGAGGCAGGAGUGGGGAAUAUUGCACAAGGGACGCAAGCCUGAUGCAGCGACGCCGCGUGAGGGAUGACGGCCUUCGGGUUGUAAACCUCUUUCAGCACCGACGAAGCGCAAGUGACGGUAGGUGCAGAAGAAGGACCGGCCAACUACGUGCCAGCAGCCGCAGUAA